rnacentral:sRNA from 1 species
GAGCUCCGCUCGUCUCUUGUCUGGGGAGCUACGUGUCGCACCGGGUUUUUGGGCCGGCCGUGUUCUCCUCCCUCGGUCGCCACUGGCCCAUGAGUCCCCAUGGCGACGGCAGGGGCCAGGCCCGGGGGCGGGCAGUCGGAGUGGGGCUGCGGCACUCCGGGGGCAUCCGCGGCGGCAUGGCCGUGUUCGCUGCCGUGGCCGCAGUGUUCACCCUCACCCUGCCCCCCUCGGUACCGGGGGGAGACUCCGGGGAACUGAUCACAGCCGCACAUGAGCUUGGAGUUGCCCAUCCUCCUGGCUAUCCUUUGUUCACGCUGGUGGCUAAACUGGCAAUUACACUGUUUCCUUUUGGUUCAAUUGCCUACCGCGUCAAUCUUCUCUGUGGCUUAUUUGGAGCAGUAGCUGCAUCAUUACUUUUUUUCACCGUUUUCAGAGGAAUAGUAUUCCAUCAGUGAGAAAACUACUAUGCAAUCAGUACCUUUCUUAGGAAUCUUAUCUGGGUCUCAUGAAUUUUGGGGACCAAAAAAAAGAAGACAGUUAUGUU